rnacentral:rRNA from 1 species
UGGGGGAUUUUGCACAAUGGGCGCAAGCCUGAUGCAGCGACGCUGCGUGAGGGAUGAAGGCCUUCGGGUUGUAAACCUCUUUCGCUGGGUUGAAAGGCCAUGCUUUGGGUGUGGUUGAUCUGAACUGGUAAAGAAGUACCGGCUAACUACGUGCCAGCAGCCGCGGUAAUACGUAGGGUACUAGCGUUGUCCGGAUUUAUUGGGCGUAAAGGGCCUGUAGGUGGUUUGUCGCGUCUGUCGUGAAAUCCUGUGGCUUAACCAUGGGCUUGCGGUGGGUACGGGCAGGCUUGAGUGCGGUAGGGGAGACUGGAAUUCCUGGUGUGGCGGUGGAAUGCGCAGAUAUCAGGAGGAACACCGGUGGCGAAGGCGGGUCUCUGGGCCGUUACUGACACUGAGGAGCGAAAGCGUGGGGAGCGAACAGG